GAAAGGUGCUUAACAGUUCACGCCUUUCGUUCACUACACAACUACGGAUUUUUACUUGUCUCCUACUUUAUCUAUUCACUUCCUCUUGAAUUCAUACUUAUCUCUUCCUCAUUCCUACCCCUUCUCUUCCCUCUUUGGCGUCCGUUUCGCAAAAACUAAAUAUCCAACCCCCUAAGAAACAAUUCGGAAUAAUUGAAAUCUUAGAAACAUUAAGACAUUCAAAAGAAGAUAUUCAAAUGGGAAUUAAACAGAAAAAAAUAUUUUUUUGCUCCUCCGUACGAACUUCUUCAGAAUUCUUCCGGUUCAACCUUUCAUCUUCCUUUCUUCUUUCCCUCCUGUACUUUGUCUUCUUUCGUCACUUAAAAAAUCUCAGUCCGAUGUCCGUGAGUCCAAAGAUCGAUUUUCGCGAUCCAGUGUCGAAAUUACUCGCGAGUUUAGUUGAUCCCUCCCCUGUGAGAAAGGCGGCAACAGUGGAAAAAAAAGACUUCAAUCUUUUUUAAAUACUCUUUUAGAUUUUUUUUAAAUAAGUCUUUUUACCAUGAAGAACUGUGUUCUUGAAAGUUCAUUUUGUGGAGAUAUCAACGGAAAAUAUGCUGGUUCGUUUCAUCAUUAAAGACAGUGGUUAUUUGGUUCUCCGAGUACGAAAGGUUCCGGAUGAUCGAGGAGCAGAAACUCGCGGAAUUUACAAAAAAAGAUCUUGAAGAACGCUGCGGGUGAUGGGAAAAGGAGCGACCUAAUCAUAAACAAGUUGCGCUCAUACACAAUUGAAUUCGUGGUGCAAGAAGAUCGUAUAUCAACUCUGGGAUCAUCUUAAUUAGACGAAACUGGUUUUCACAAUGAUUUGACAGAUGUAUUUGAUUCUGAGAUCAUUGUGAAAGCUGAUUUUGUUCGGAAUUCAACAGUGAAGCUGAAAUAAAAAAAAGAAAACCUAAGUAGACGCCAGGAAUGGUCACUGAUAAAAAAAAUCAAGCAGGUAUCAUGUGUGUGAA